rnacentral:rRNA from 1 species
GUACUGUGCGAACGUUAUUCGGAAUCACUGGGCUUAAAGGGUGCGUAGGCGGGCUGGAUAAGUAGGGGUGUGAAAUCCCUCGGGCUCAACCGAGGAACUGCGCUCUAAACUGUCCGGCUUGAGUGAGAUAGGGGUGUGCGGAACUUCCAGUGGAGCGGUGAAAUGUGUUGAUAUUGGAAGGAACGCCGGUGGCGAAAGCGGCACACUGGGUCUCAACUGACGCUGAGGCACGAAAGCCAGGGUAGCGAACGGGAUUAGAUACCCCGGUAGUCCUGGCCGUAAACGUUGAGCACUAGUUGGGAGGGGCUUCGGCCUCUUCGAACGUAGCGAAAGCAUUAAGUGCUCCGCCUGGGGAGUAUGGUCGCAAAGGCUG